CGUAGGUGAACUGCGGAAGGCCAUUG
rnacentral:rRNA from 1 species